rnacentral:rRNA from 1 species
AGUCGUCAACACGAGUUGUUGCUGGUCCUCAAACGGGGGCAUGUGCACACUCUGUUCACACAUCCACUCACACCUGUGCACCCUCCGUAGUUCUAUGGCCUGUGAGACACCGUCCCCCUGCCGUAGUUCUAUGUCUUUACACACACACAACCUAGCAAGGUCAUAUGGAAUGUACACGCGUUUAACGCAAUACAAUACAACUUUCAGCAACGGAUCUCUUGGCUCUCGCAUCGAUGAAGAACGCAGCGAAAUGCGAUAAGUAAUGUGAAUUGCAGAAUUCAGUGAAUCAUCGAAUCUUUGAACGCACCUUGCGCCCCUGGGAUAUUCCGAGGGGCAUGCCUGUUUGAGUAUCAUGAACACCUCAACUCUCAUGGUUUGCCAUGAUGAGCUUGGACUUUGGGGGUUUUGCUGGCCCUGUGGUCAGCUCCCCUCAAACAAAUCAGCUUGCCAGUGUACGGCGGCGCUGCGGGUGUGAUAACUAAUCUACGCUUGCGGUCGUCCGUUGGGUAACCUUUGGCAACGGAGGUUCGCUGGAGCUCAUAAACGUCUCUCCUCAGUGAAGACAGCUUUUCGAACGUUCGAUCUCAAAUCAGGUAGGACUACCCGCUGAACUUAA